ensembl:lncRNA
GUGGCUGUGCUAGGUCUGAAAGAUAAAGUUGCACAUGAUUUUUAAAAAGGCCUGUUCUUGUCAUCCAUGUUAAGAGCUAAAUAGCCUCUUCUCCCAGGAUUUCUCUAUUGGGAGAAUGACUUUGUCAGAUUUCAAGGACCCCGGGAAGGGGCAUCGUAUUUGAACAAUAUUGAAAUUUGGAUAUCGAAUUCUCCGUAAGCAAAAUGAAGUGUGUUUGACUCUUCAGGUGUGAGAAUUGGCAGCUCCAGCGUUUGCAGUAUAUUAUCACCACACUGUCAGAAAGAGCUCGCAGAUGCCAACUCUGACUAAACUGGGCGUGUUAUAAAUCCAGCAUGAGCAGUGGAUUUCUUAUGCCAACAACGCAUUUCAACCCUUACCUUAUUACCACAUUUCUUGGCUGCUACAGGAUAAAAAUCUUUUAAGCCUUUUACUGCUUGUGUGUGAAAUCUCAGAUAAUGUAGCCAAAUGCAGUGAAAGUUCAGGGCUGUUUUAUGACAUUGGUUUAUCAAAAAUUGUGAUCUACAAAAGCCUGAAAGCACAAAUCCAUUGUUAUCAGAUGAGGUCAAUUACACCACACCCAUUCCCCUGAUGGACUAUCCUUUUCAUUUAGUAAAUCACUGAGGAGGGCUACAGAAAUAUGCACUGUCAGACAAAAACUACUUCGCACUCAAAUGGAAGAAACCGAGUAAAUGUACUCCAUCGCGCAUAAAGACACACUACAUGUGAAUUUCUGAGGCAUGGUCCCUUGUAAUGAAAUUGGUCUGAGUGGGAAUCAACAUAGGAAUGCUGAGAUCUAAUGACAACUUGUCUGGAACAGGAGCCUGGGAGAAACAAAAUAACCGCACUGAAGAUGUCUGGCUGGGAGAGGAGUAGCUCUUGCUGGAGUCAGAUUGAACUGGAUUCUGUUUUCUGGCCAACAGAGAUGGGAGCCAGAGGGGGUGAAUAUUAUCCUUUAUCCUGGACUUCUGGUCCCCCUGCAAGAGAGGCUUGAAGACUAUGCUGCACAUCAAUAUGGCGACCCUCCACAUUGUUCAGAGAGAGGAAAAAAAUUCUCUGUGUGUGUCAGUGGGACAGACAACAGGCCCCACCUGUCUACAAACCAUGAGGCUGUGGGUUUUGGUGGGAUAGGCAACAGGCUGGAACUCUGGAGCUUCUGAGUCCUGAUCCCAAAUCUCAUUACUUCCAAGCCUUGUUGAAAGAAUAUAAACAAAUCUCCAUGCAUUCUAGCUCACUUUACUGGUCUGUUAAUAUCUCCAGAGCCUAGCAUGGUACCCUACAAAUAACAAGAAAUUAAUCUAAAUUUUAUUAAUUAUUUCUUAAGUUGGAAAAAGAAUGUUAACUGAACGUCUCCUCAGGUGGAUAGCCUAAAGUCAGGAAAUCUCUUUGAGGGCAAAAUAUUUUAAAAAGAAACUUAAAUCCCAGCAUCUAUAAUUUCUACAUGUAACUGGUACUUAUUAAAUGCUCUAACUGACCUCAAAUCAUGCCGCAGACACAUACCAAGAUGCAUGUGACCCACAGACAAGUCAUUUAACCUUCACUGUUUUUCAGACAAAUCUCCAAGCCAAUAGAGUAUAGAUGAGUUGCCUUUCUGCAUUAGGGGAGGGAAUUUCCAUCUCACUUGCAGCCAUGAAAUCUUUAUUCAGCACCAUAUAAUUGUUUUAGGGUCUGCUUUUGAGGAUAUUAAAGCAAUGACACUUGGGCAUUUAUAAACAUAGAACAAUGCUCCAGUAGGUGUUUAUUAAUUAUAAAAGCAUAGACACAAUGAUUAGAUACCAACUACAAUUCCUUUACAAUUACAUUAGAUCAUAGAUUUAGAUAUGACAGGAAGAGUGGCAGUCAUUUACUUUGAUCUUCUUACUUUUCAUAUUAUUAUACAGAGAUCCAGAGAAUUAAAUAAAGUAAAGCACCUAAGGUAAUACA